CCCCUAGAUGUUCUGGGCCGCACGCGCGCUACACUGAACAGUUCAACAAGUCUUAACCUUGGCCGAUAGGUCUGGGUAAUCUUUGAACGCUGUUCGUGAUUGGGAUAGACCUUUGCAAUUAUGGGUCUUCAACGAGGAAUUCCUAGUAAACGCAAGUCAUCAGCUUGCAUUGAUUACGUCCCUGCCCUUUGUACACACCGCCCGUCGCACCUACCGAUUUAAUGGUCCGGUGAAAUCUCGGGACGGCGGCUUGGUCGCUUGCGUCCGACUGCUGAAACUUGAUUAAACCAUAUCAUUUAGAGGAAGGUGAAGUCGUANCA
rnacentral:rRNA from 1 species